AUUGAACGCUGGCGGCAGGCCUAACACAUGCAAGUCGAGCGGAUGAAGGGAGCUUGCUCCUGGAUUCAGCGGCGGACGGGUGAGUAAUGCCUAGGAAUCUGCCUGGUAGUGGGGGAUAACGUCCGGAAACGGGCGCUAAUACCGCAUACGUCCUGAGGGAGAAAGUGGGGGAUCUUCGGACCUCACGCUAUCAGAUGAGCCUAGGUCGGAUUAGCUAGUUGGUGGGGUAAGGGCCUACCAAGGCGACGAUCCGCAACUGGUCUGAGAGGAUGAUCAGUCACACUGGAACUGAGACACGGUCCAGACUCCUACGGGAGGCAGCAGUGGGGAAUAUUGGACAAUGGGCGAAAGCCUGAUCCAGCCAUGCCGCGUGUGUGAAGAAGGUCUUCGGAUUGUAAAGCACUUUAAGUUGGGAGGAAGGGCAGUAAGUUAAUACCUUGCUGUUUUGACGUUACCAACAGAAUAAGCACCGGCUAACUUCGUG
rnacentral:rRNA from 1 species